rnacentral:tRNA from 1 species
GCCUCGCUAGCUCAAUCGGUAGAGCGUGAGACUCUUAAUCUCAAGGUUGCAGGUUCGACCCCCGCGUGGGGCC